UUUAAAAACAUUUUUCUUUGUUAUUUUAAUUGUGCAGUCAAAAGAUGUAAAAAUGUAGUUAACAUAUAAUUUCCAAUGUUUUGAUAAAGGCAUUAUGCCGAAACGUCAAUUAAAGGAGUAUCAUCUUUUGAUGAUUUGAAAAGCUGCAAAUUAUAAAGCGUAGCAACGCGAAACGAUUGAAUUAUUUGGAAAGUUCUGUUGUCGUUAUUUUUUGGGAAACUACGAGGAUUGCUGAUAUAAGUAAAAUCUACAUCCGCAUAGUAUCAGCAUGGAUGGUCGAGUGGUCUAUGCGGGAGACUUUUUACUCCAGGACUCUAGGGACAAACAUUUUCAAGAGAUGAAGAGGAAGAUUCAUAAGUAGUGCUAGGUUUCUUUAACUGAAGUGUUACUCGGAUGUCAAGCUUCUCAUUUAUACUCUGGACAAGCAGUAUCAAGUGUUGACAAGAGCACUGCCAACGGGUGCAGGACGCUGGAAUACAAGUGCUUGACACAGACUAAGUCUCAGAUCCAAAAGAGGAUAGUUUCCUCAUGUCAAUAGAAGUAGGUCAUCACAUAAUCAUUCUACAAGAGUGUUGAAUUUCAAGUUGAAAGCUUUUAAUGAUUGAGAAAUUGAAGUCGGAAAAGGGGAAUAACUCUUACAAAAUGGUGAAUAGUUGUCUUCUGUUGUCAGUAGAUGAAGGUGUUGAUAUUCUACAAGUGCAUAGACUUCGAAGUUGAAAGCUUCGAUGGUGUUUGAGAAAUUGUAAGUCGGUAAUAACUAGUAAAAUAUGAAGGAUAAAGUUAUGUGCUUUGUCAGAAGUUGCAUGUCAUCAUAUUAUAUAAGUAUGCAGACUGUCAAGUUGAAAGGUUGGACAAUGUUUGAGAAAAUUAAGUUUAUUGUUGAGAAUUUGCCAAUAUUUCUAUGUACUAAGUCAAAACAAGGGCAGAUAAUUCCAUAAAUAUAGGUCACAUGGUAACCAGCCUUGUCAGUAUGGACUUAACAGGCGAAAAAGAGCAAGUAUUGUAAGUUUGAAGAGGAUAUCUUUGAUAGUCUUUGCGGAAAUUGACAUUUACAGACAACUAAACAAACGCAAACGCCGACUACCUGGCUAUGAAAAUAGCUCUUGUUUUGUUUUAAAAGUCGAGCUAAAAAGGGAGAUAUUAAUUAAGUUAUGUGUGACUGGUAGACUAUUUUCAGUCAAUAUAAUGACAAUGAUGGCAUUUUGAAAGGAAAGUGCUAAUGAUAAUGAAAUGUUUGAAAAUGGUUUUGAGAUCAAUCUGAAGGCAGGGCAAAGUUACCAAUACCAUCGUAAUAAAUAAACAAGUUCUUAGUGCUGAGAUCAAUUUAAUGAACACAAUGUAUCAACAACCUGUAGAACAUUGAAGGUAAUUGUUUUUAACAUCAAAGCUUAAUAUAACUUGACAUAAUGAACUACUAACUAAUAAUCUAGCUCUACAAAAUGAUUUUAAAAUGUUUGGAACAAGAAUGGUAUCAUGCAAUUCUCGUCCUUUUGUGUGAGUAUUAACAUAUGUACUGUAAAUGUACAAUGGCUAAAUAACAAAGACAAAGGCACUAAAAGUUUCAAAUGGUUGGACAAAAAAAAGUAAUAUAUGUCUUUUUUAUACAGGAAAGUCACCUAAAACAUACCUUAGCAAAAACAUUGAAAAGUGGUUGGGACGGAGAUAUUUAUCUUAGCGGACAACAUACAAAUCAACAAGGCAUCGCUUGUCUGAGUAAAAGUCAUACAGGAAUAACAGUGGAU